rnacentral:rRNA from 1 species
AGUGGGGAAUAUUGCGCAAUGGGGGCAACCCUGACGCAGCAACGCCGCGUGAAUGAAGAAGGUCUUCGGAUCGUAAAGUUCUGUCGAAGGGGAAGAAAUAAAUGACGGUACCCUUAGAGGAAGCCCCGGCUAACUACGUGCCAGCAGCCGCGGUAACACGUAGGGGGCGAGCGUUGUUCGGAAUCAUUGGGCGUAAAGGGCGUGCAGGCGGCACUGCAAGUCCGGCGUGAAAGACCCCGGCCCAACCGGGGGGGUGCGCUGGAAACUGCGGUGCUUGAGUACAGGAGGGGAUGCCGGAAUUCCAGGUGUAGGGGUGAAAUCUGUAGAUAUCUGGAAGAACACCGAUGGCGAAGGCAGGCAUCUGGCCAUGUACUGACGCUGAGACGCGAAGGUGCGGGGAGCAAACAGGAUUAGAUACCCUGGUAGUCCACGCCGUAAACGGUGGAUACUAGAUGUCGGGGGCUUGCCUUCGGUGUCGCAGUUAACGCGUUAAGUAUCCCGCCUGGGGAGUACGGUCGCAAGGCUG